GCAUGGCUGUCGUCAGCUCGUGUCGUGAGAUGUUGGGUUAAGUACCCGCAACGAGCGCAACCCCUCGCAUUCAGUUGCCAUCGGGUAAUGCCGGGCACUCUGGAAGGACUGCCAUCGACAAGAUGGAGGAAGGUGGGGAGUGACGUCAAGUCAUCAUGGCCCUUAUGUCCAGGGCGACACACGUGCUACAAUGGCCGGCACAACGGGAAGCGAGUUCGCGAGGACGAGCGGAUCCCUCAAAGCCGGUCGCAGUUCGGAUUGAAGUCUGCAACUCGACUUCAUGAAGCUGGAAUCGCUAGUAAUCGUGGAUCAGCCAAGCCGCGGUGAAUACGUUCCCGGGCCUU
rnacentral:rRNA from 1 species